CUUGCUAUUCUAUCAAGGAAGAAGGAGCAGGUAAGGUUCGGGUCUUCGCGAUCCAAGGCCUGUCUUAAGAGAAGUGACCCUCGGAUACGGGUCAAACAGUAAAGUGCUUUCUCUGAGGUGAAUCCAAUAGUUUAGAUAUCCCCGCACAGAUGUUCUCGAAUGCGCCGUUCUCUUUGUUAGAAAGCCCUCUUGCUGCUUGAAAAGGAGCUCAUGACAUAAAUUGACACUAUUCAAUGUCUCGAGUAGGCCAAUUGCCUUUCUUACCUUUGCUGGUGGUUGAGUUGGAUUGGAUGAGGAUUGAUGAUUAUCAAUGAUUCUCCAGCCAUUUUUUUUACCUGGCAAGUCUAACUAGAUCUUUAUCUCUUGCUUGCUUUCAUUCUUUUC
rnacentral:lncRNA from 1 species